CCUGAACACAGAAUUUUGUCCUCUCAAUACCCACCUCCCCAGGUCCUGCUGCUACUUGUUUAUACUUUAACCAUAAAGAAUUUCCAUUCAUUUCCAUCCACCCCAGAAGUUCACCAAAGCGUGGAAGGCAGCUCCAUGCUCAUCUUGAGGGCACAUGGCUGAGCACUCCAAGAUGCCCAGGCAGAGGGACCAGAGCCCAAGCACUCCAUGAGUAGUUCUGAAUUAAGCGGCCUUGUGAACCUCAAGGCUAGUGGUGUACCUAUACUCUGAGCAACUACAGAGUACAUGUGAUACUUACAUAGCCAAUUAGAGCACAAGAUCUGUUUUCAUCAGAUGCAAUUCAGCAAUAAUUAUGAAAUCACCUAACUUGAAGACAUGACGUAGAACAAGUCUAUUUCAGGAAGUGUAUCCUCAGGUUUUCCAUUAUUCAAAUGCUCUCACAGGAUGUCACAGGGGAACCUUCCCUGUGCUUCAUGGCACAGAUACAGACUCACAGAAUAUUCUGAGUUGGAAGGGACCCACAAGGAUCAUCAAGUCCAAGACAGACACUUCUUCCACAAAGAUGCUGAAGGCAUCCACAGGCACAAUGCUGCUUGCUCCCUUCUCACUUGGCUCUAACAUAAAUCUACUCCAUAUUCUUUUGAAGAAAAAGUAAACAAUCUGAUAUUGCCUAUUGUGCUGAAAAUAAAGGACCUGAAGCCACUUUU